CGGAGUGUAGCGCAGCCUGAUAGCGCGUCUGGUUUGGGACCAGGGUCGCGGGCUCAAAUCCUGCCACUCCGACCA
rnacentral:tRNA from 1 species